GGUAGGAUCCUAUAGAAGUGCUAUACGCGUGCCUCUGUGAGGGACAAAACAUACGCAAAGCGACAAUAUUAAAAACACGUUUUAACAUUCCUGACAACAUACCAAAAACAAUCUACGUAAUUUGGUCGGGUUAUUUGUUGCCCACCAUAAACCAUACUAAAUUUUUGGUGGGGAACAAACAAAAAACUGUGAUAAGGACAAACAAUAAUAGCGCUUUCUCUGCUACUCUCACUGAAAGAUACGUAAGACUAUCCCG